rnacentral:rRNA from 1 species
AAGGGCACCACAAGAACGCGUGGAGCAUGUGGCUUAAUUUGACUCAACGCGGGGAAUCUUACCGGGUCCGGACACACUGAGGAUUGACAGGUACAAGGAGCCUUGGCUCUGUAAAAUUGCUAGUCCUUUCAUGAUUGUGUGAUAGGUGGUGCAUGGCCGUUCUUAGUUCGUGGAUUAAUCUGUCUGCUUAAUUGCGUUUUUUCCAUUGAGCCUUGAUACCCAAUAUACCUUCUACGUGUAUCGAGUGUCAGUCCACUUCUGUGGCUACCUUGGUGCACUAGUUUGGUGGGUUAAUCAAGGCCUUCUGAAACGAACGAGACUCCAACCCUUCUUUUUCAGCAUCAAACAACUGUUUUGUUGUUACUUUUGUCUUUCAGUUGCGAUCUACUCGUAGUUAGCGCUGUUUGGCAUUUACGAUGCUGUUAACAGAAGGGGACUGUUACAUCCAAAUGUAAAGGAAGGUUGGGGCAAUAACAGGUCUGUGAUGCCCUUAGAUGUUCCGGGCUGCACACGUGCUACAAUGAUCUAUGCACUAAGCAUCUUUUAGUUCCGUAGUGUGCGUUCUCUCGUAGGACGACACACACGCGACAUGCCUACUUCGAGAGCUAGUAGGUAAUCAUUUGGUAAUAUAGAUUUCCUUUGCAUUGCGACAUCAGGUCUACUUGUUAGUCUCUGGUGUCGUGUGUCUUCAACUAUGACUUCUUAGUGGGGACAA